AUUGGACGCUGGCGGCAGGCCUAACACAUGCAAGUCGAACGGUAACAGGAAGAAGCUUGCUUCUUUGCUGACGAGUGGCGGACGGGUGAGUAAUGUCUGGGAAACUGCCUGAUGGAGGGGGAUAACUACUGGAAACGGUAGCUAAUACCGCAUAAUGUCGCAAGACCAAAGAGGGGGACCUUCGGGCCUCUUGCCAUCGGAUGUGCCCAGAUGGGAUUAGCUAGUAGGUGGGGUAACGGCUCACCUAGGCGACGAUCCCUAGCUGGUCUGAGAGGAUGACCAGCCACACUGGAACUGCGACACGGUCCAGACUCCUACGGGAGGCAGCAGUGGGGAAUAUUGCACAAUGGGUGCAAGCCUGAUGCAGCUAUGCCGCGUGUAUGAAGAAGGCCUUCGGGUUGUAAAGUACUUUCAGCGGGGAGGAAGGGAGUAAAGUUAAUACCUUUGCUCAUUGACGUUACCCGCAGAAGAAGCACCGGCUAACUCCGUG
rnacentral:rRNA from 1 species